CCGGCCGCGGAGAGGGGAACUUGGGCGAGUUUCGUGCGCGAUCGCGGCUACCACAGCCCUGCAGGUGACCCUUCAGGAAGCCAGCUUAGUGGAGAGUGCCCUUGGACAACAAUGGUCUCUUCUGCUGUCUGCAAAAAGCAACCAUCUGAAGAGAUUUGUCAAAGUAACAGCAAUUGAGAUAACCUAGGUGAGGUAGACCCUUCUUCCCUUUUCUGUGAUUUGGCCCCUCGUGAAGCUGAACAAAGAAAUGGAAGAAAGGAUUCUGCACUGUCUCCCCCAACAGACUGAACCCCCCCCCCGCCACGUGGAAUGCGAAGGGAUUCGCAGUGGAAUGCGAAUUGCUUUGAUUGUUGGAGUCUGGAAUUCGUCAGAAUUGUCUGUCUUCCAGCAGCUCAGCCAGAGCGAGGAUUUUUAUGCUAGCUCAGCUGGAUAAGUGACCCGUUUUUUUUUAUACGGAUUAACAGGCAAACAUCCUCCUGUCUACAUUCAUCAUUUUCUUAUCUAUACAGCUAAAGAGAUUUGUCAAAGUAACAGCAAUUGAGAUAACCUAGGUGAGGUAAGACUUUCCUUUUUUUAUUCACGGAACUAAGGGGGAAGAAAAUAUAAAUAGCUUAUCUUUUUUUUAUUGCAAAAAGCUGACAUGGAAAAUAGCAUUUUAAAGAUUACAACGGACGAGAGAUUUCUGAUUGGGAGAGAUAAGAAAUCUUUUUGAUUUAUAAGACUUUUGUGUAAUAUAUGGCUGGGACUAUUUUUCCUGAUCUACUUUUUUUUUGACGAAUCUGCUCAUUCUCUCUGCUACUAGUUAUUUGGACGCUGUGAACUAAAGCCGUUCUUACACUUCCGGGCAGAUAAGAGAUAAGGGCUGUCUAGCGUGUGACCUUAGUUGGUUGGAAAGAUUAACUCCUUUGUAACUGGUUAAAGAAAUAAGCUGCUCUUUGUUUGGGACAUUGAAAAUUGAAGGAGUUUUGUUCCUUUGGCUUUAAGAAUGACAAUUAAGCAGAUCAUGGAUGUACAAGAAGGGACUUUAUCUCUAGACAUGUUUCAGAAAAUAAUGAAUGGGAUUAACUCAAUAAAACAAGAACUGAGAAAUAAUAGACAAGCGUGGAGAAUUGAAUUUCAUGAAAUGAGACAGGAGCUGAAAGAAACUCAGGAUUCUAUGAGAAAGGAGAAUAAAGAUAGAUCUGGAAAACAAAAAAAGGAUGAAAGAGAAAUUAAAGGCAAGGUUCAAACUAUGGAGAUUGGCUUAAUUAUGGACAUGAAAAAAGAUUUGGAUUUCCUGGCUGUGAUGGAUCCUGGAGACAAAUAUUACAGUUUGGAAUUCAGCGCUGUCCCUGAAGGAAUUGAAGAGAUUGGAGAUAAAGAUAUUAUCGGUUCAAAAAAAUUCCUGGACUGGAAGGAUUUGAUGGAACUUGAAAUGGAGAAAGUUAACAGAAUUAAUCCCUGUUUUGUGUCAAUGGAAAAACCUUCAAGAGAUGUACUAGUGUAUCAUGUGGAAAAGAGGAACAGAGAUGCGGCUUUGCAACAAUACUUCAGUGAUACGUUUGGAUUUGAUGGCAAGAAAAUAUCUGUGAUGGAGGAAAUUCCUAUCAGACUUUUAUUAUAUGACUAUGACAGCAAGAUUUUUGGGUGCGUAAAGAUGGAAGAUGGAAGAUGGACCCAAUAUGGAUAAUGACAGAAGAGCGAUUUAAAAUUACUGGACUUAGUAGAUUUGAAGAGUUGGAUUAAUUGAUAUGUUUAUUUAGUAAAAAAAAUGAUUGAUAUAUAUCUCAAGGAUUGGAAACUUCUCUUUGACUUUUUGUGGAAGAUUAAAAUGAUAGGAUGUUAAUGAGAUUUGAAACCAACUAAGAUAACCGCUGGAGGAAGGUGAUUUUAUAAUCUAUUAAGAGAUAGGUUUGUUAUAUAUUAUAGAUUUAUAGCUGAAUUAUAGCGAUUUGAAAUUACUGGACUUAGUAGAUUUGAAGAGUUGGAUUAAUUGAUAUGUUUAUUUAGAAAAAAAAUUGAUUGACAUGUAUCUCAAGGAUUGGAAACUUCUCUUUGACUUUUUGUGGAAGAUUAAAAUGAUAGGAUGUUAAUGAGGUUUGAAACCAACUAAGAUAACCGCUGGAGGAAGGUGAUUUUAUAAUCUAUUAAGAGAUAGGUUUGUUAUAUAUUAUAGAUUUAUAGCUGAACUAUGACAAAUC